AUCUAACUGACGAGUCCCGAAUAAGAUGACACGCACGUCCUAGAU
rfam:Schistosoma haematobium scaffold168_6, whole genome shotgun sequence.